AUAUCAAUAAGCGGAGGAAAAGAAACCAACAGGGAUUGCCCCAGUAACGGCGAGUGAAGCGGCAACAGCUCAAAUUUGAAAUCUGGCCCCUAGGGUCCGAGUUGUAAUUUGUAGAGGAUGCUUUUGGUGAGGUGCCGCCCGAGUUCCCUGGAACGGGACGCCACAGAGGGUGAGAGCCCCGUCUGGCUGGCCACCGAGCCUCUGUAAAGCUCCUUCGACGAGUCGAGUAGUUUGGGAAUGCUGCUCAAAAUGGGAGGUAUAUGUCUUCUAAAGCUAAAUAUUGGCCAGAGACCGAUAGCGCACAAGUAGAGUGAUCGAAAGAUGAAAAGCACCUUGAAAAGAGGGUUAAACAGUACGUGAAAUUGUUGAAAGGGAAGCGCUUGUGACCAGACUUGGGCGCGGCGGAUCAUCCGGGGUUCUCUCCGGUGCACUUCGCCGCGUUCAGGCCAGCAUCAGUUCGGCGCGGGGGAAAAAGGCUUCGGGAACGUGGCUGCUCCGGCAGUGUUAUAGCCCGUUGCAUAAUACCCUGCGCUGGACUGAGGACCGCGCAUCUGCAAGGAUGCUGGCGUAAUGGUCACCAGCGA
rnacentral:rRNA from 1 species